UCUCCGUAGGUGAACCUGCGGAGGGAUCAUUACUGAGUGAGGGCCCUCGCGGCCCGACCUCCAACCCCAUGUUUUCCGACUCUGUUGCCUCGGGGGCGACCCGGCCCUGUUGGGUGUCGGGGCCCCCGGUGGUCCACAACUCAACUCUUGCAUCUCGGCGUCCGAGUCAAUAUUUGAAUCAAUCAAAACUUUCAACAACGGAUCUCUUGGUUCUGGCAUCGAUGAAGAACGCAGC
rnacentral:misc_RNA from 1 species